GAUGAACGCUGGCGGCGUGCCUAACACAUGCAAGUCGAGCGGUUAUAUAGUAGUGCUUGCACAAAAAAUAUAAUAGCGGCGGACGGGUGAGUAACACGUGGGGAACCUGCCUUUAGGCUUGGGAUAACAGUGAGAAAUCAAUGCUAAUACCAAAUAAACUUACGUUAUCGCCUGAUAAGUAAGAAAAGAUUAAUCGCCGAAAGAUGGCCCCGCGCCUGAUUAGCUAGUUGGUAAGAUAAAAGCUUACCAAGGCAACGAUCAGUAGCCGUACUGGGAGGUAGGACGGCCACAUUGGGACGGAGACACGGCCCAAACUCCUACGGGAGGCAGCAGUGGGGAAUAUUGCACAAUGGGGGAAACCCUGAUGCAGCAACGCCGCGUAAAGGAAGAAGGCUUUCGGGUCGUAACCUUAAAUCAACGGGGAAGAAAAAAAUGACGGUACCCGAAGAGAAGCACCGGCUAACUACGUGCCAGCAGCCGCCGUAA
rnacentral:rRNA from 1 species